rnacentral:rRNA from 1 species
ACUACGGGAGGCAGCAGUGAGGAAUAUUGGUCAAUGAGCGCGAGCCUGAACCAGCCAAGCAGCGUGAAGGAUGACUGUACUACGGAUUGUAAACUUCUUUUAUCAAGGAAUAAAGAGAGGCACGUGUGCCUUGUUGUAUGUACUUUAUGAAUAAGCAUCGGCUAACUCCGUGCCAGCAGCCGCGGUAAUACGGAGGAUGCGAGCGUUAUCCGGAUUUAUUGGGUUUAAAGGGUGCGUAGGUGGGUUGUUAAGUCAGUUGUGAAAGUUUGCGGCUCAACCGUAAAAUUGCAAUUGAUACUGGCAGCCUUGAGUAGAGUUGAGGUAGGCGGAAUUCGUGGUGUAGCGGUGAAAUGCUUAGAUAUCACGAAGAACUCCGAUUGCGAAGGCAGCCUACUAAACUGCCACUGACAUUGAUGCUCGAAAGUGUGGGUAUCAAACAGGAUUAGAUACCCUUGUAGUC